rnacentral:rRNA from 1 species
UGGGGAAUUUUGGACAAUGGGCGCAAGCCUGAUCCAGCCAUGCCGCGUUCGGGAAGAAGGCCUUCGGGUUGUAAAUCGCUUUUGUCAGGGAAGAAAUCUUCUGAGUUAAUACCUCGGGGAGGAUGACGGUACCUGAAGAAUAAGCACCGGCUAACUACGUGCCAGCAGCCGCGGUAAUACGUAGGGUGCAAGCGUUAAUCGGAAUUACUGGGCGUAAAGCGUGCGCAGGCGGUUUUGUAAGACAGAGGUGAAAUCCCCGGGCUCAACCUGGGAACUGCCUUUGUGACUGCAAGGCUUGAGUGCGGCAGAGGGGGGAUGGAAUUCCGCGUGUAGCAGUGAAAUGCGUAGAUAUGCGGAGGAACACCGAUGGCGAAGGCAAUCCCCCUGGGGCCUGCACUGACGCUCAUGCACAAAGCGUGGGGAGCAAA